CUGUACGGGAAGGAUGAGAAGCUUCGACUAAGGUUCGAUUCGAGCGAAAGCGAGAAAGCGUUGCCGCAGGCAACGACCCGAAGGGCGAAACGCGCAGCGCUGAGUCAUCCUUCCCCCACCACCA
rnacentral:sRNA from 2 species